AUGGGGGAAACCCUGACGCAGCGACGCCGUGUGAGGGAAGAAGGCUUUCGGGUCGUAAACCUCUGUCAGGAAGGAAGAAACUCUCCAGGCUGAACAAGCCUUGGGACUGACGGUACUUCCAGAGGAAGCACCGGCUAACUCCGUGCCAGCAGCCGCGGUAAUACGGAGGGUGCAAGCGUUAAUCGGAAUCACUGGGCGUAAAGCGCGCGUAGGCCGUCUAUUAAGUCGGACGUGAAAGCCCUCGGCUCAACCGGGGAACUGCGUUCGAUACUGGGAGACUUGAGUCCUGGAGAGGGUGGCGGAAUUCCGGGUGUAGGAGUGAAAUCCGUAGAUAUCCGGAGGAACACCGGUGGCGAAGGCGGCCACCUGGACAGGUACUGACGCUGAGGCGCGAAAGCGUGGGGAGCAAACA
rnacentral:rRNA from 1 species